CUUUUCUUUAUAUCAUCAUGUUGGUGGUCUAUUUUUUAUUUUUUUAUUCACUUCGAUCUGCGAAAUCACAUCACAACUGCAAUGAUGGCACAAUUGUUACCUAUACACGAACAAAAAAUAAAAUUUGUCGGGAUUUUUUUCUUUUCUCUUUCUUUACAGAAAACUAU
rnacentral:ribozyme from 14 species